rnacentral:rRNA from 1 species
GACGAACGCUGGCGGCGUGCCUAAUACAUGCAAGUUGAGCGCCGAAGGUUUGUACUUGUACCAACUGGAUGAGCAGCGAACGGGUGAGUAACGCGUGGGGAAUCUGCCUUUGAGCGGGGGACAACAACUGGAAACGAAUGCUAAUACCGCAUAAAAACUCUAAACACAAGUUUUAAGUUUGCAAGAUGCAAUUGCAUCACUCAAAGAUGAUCCCGCGUUGUAUUAGCUAGUUGGUGAGGUAAAGGCUCACCCAGGCGAAGGUACAUAGCCGACCUGAGAGGGUGAACGGCCAAAACGGGACUUGGACACGGCCCAAAAUCCUACCGGAGGGAGCAAUAGGGGAACAUUGGAAAAGGGCGAAAAUCUUACCGAACAACGCCGCGGUGGUGAAGGAGGUCUUCGGAUCGUAAAACUCUGUUUGUAGAGAAGAACGUGGGUGAGGGUGAAAAGCUCAUGAAGUGACGGUAACUAACGAAAAAGCAACGGCUAACUACGUG